AACAGGAGGAGAACCUCGUCCUAACAUGAGCAAAGUUGAAGGUCCGAUUUUUUAAAGAUCGGAUGGAGAGAGAGGCCCUUGCAACGGCCCUUAUGUGCCCCCACAGCCUUGUUAGGAACAGGAGGAGAACCUCAUCCUAACUUGUGCAAAGUCGAAGGCCCGAUUAUUUAGAGACCGAAUGGGGGGAGAGGCCCUUGCAACGGCCCUUACGUGCCCCCACAGCUCUGUUAGAAGUAGGGGGAGAACCUCGUCCUAACAUGAGCUGAAAUCGGUUGCGUCGGGAACAGAAGGAAAACCUCACCCUGACAUAAACGACGACCCGAUCGUUCGAGACUGGAUAAGGAGGAAAACCUCCUCAACAACUCCUCUACACUCCUACAACUCCGUUAGGAGCAGAGAGAAAAUGCUCACUCGAACACAAGAAAGGGUGAAGAGGAAAAGGAAAACGACGAACUACACCAGUGAUAGGUGGAAAACAGACCACAUCGAAGACACAAGAAACCUUGUCUCAACGAGGAAAGAGGUUCUUAUCAAAAAUCCUCAGUCUCUAAGAAGGGACUCAGCACAGGCCAAGGAAAAAUCGACUUCCUCAAGGUAACGAGAAGUUCGGACCUCCAAGCUCGAGCAUCGGGAGGAAGCGUCAAACUCAAAUGGCCUCGAAAGGACCUACGAUCAUAAGCAAAAAGGGCAAACCAACACAGCGACGAUCAGGAACCUUCAGACAACGUCGAUAUCGAACAAGACGGAAAACAAAAGAAGUUCGGUAAACGACGACUCAAAGCAAGAACCGACGAGGAAUUACAAACUACGUCGACACCAAACAAGACAGUAGGCAAAAGAAGUUCGGUAAACAACCAUUUAAUACCAGAACGGACAAGGUAAUAGACAAUUUCAUUUUUAUUUCAUCGGUGAAGUACACAUUACAAAGCCUUAAAGGCCAGAAGCAAAAAGAUAAAAAAAAAAGAGAGGCUCUAAGGAAGCCCAGUUUCUUCCGACUUCGAGCUCUCGGUCCCGGUCCUUACUAUGGAUUGCCUUAAGUUUUCAACUUCUUCCUCUAGUUCCAUCUUUCUCAGCAGCAUAUCCCAGUACAUCUGGUGGAACCGUCGGCUCUCGCCCUCCGACUCUCGAAGCCUCCUCAGGACCUCGGACUCCACCUCGACAUCUUUGACCGUCUGCUGCUCGUGGAUCAAUUGAAUCUUCAGCCGCUGCAGUUCGGCCUCCUCCCACCCAAGGGCCACAGACAGUUCUACCAUGGUCCCCCUU
rnacentral:lncRNA from 1 species